GUUACUAAUCCUUGAUAGAGGGAUAAGGUGGACUCUUUUCAGGUUGCUUGUUCAUGCCUGUUGCAUCCCCAGUGGAUCUGCACACUCAGCCAUCCCUGCAGGCACUCUCUUUUCUGGAAGUGGGAUGGAGUUUUAGGCUCCAAGUGAAAAAUGAUGCAUGAACUCAGCUGUGAUAUCUGUGCAAGGAAGGGAAAACCCAAAGGUGUGGGUAGGAUGCCACUAGCUGGUCACUGGUUUGCUGCUUUGCCCUCCUGCUAUUCACUAGGUGGGAUUUUCUGUGGCAAACCUUCCUGGAAAGCAAUGAAAACAAAAAAUUAAAG